rfam:Heligmosomoides polygyrus genome assembly, scaffold: HPBE_scaffold0004478
GCGCCUGUGGUGUAAAGGCGUAGAGCAUUCCCACCCGGUCAGAGGGAGAUGCGGGUUCGAGUCCCGCCUGGCGCA